rnacentral:rRNA from 1 species
AUUGAACGCUGGCGGCAGGCCUAACACAUGCAAGUCGAGCGAGCGGCGGACGGGUGAGUAAUGUCUGGGAAACUGCCUGAUGGAGGGGGAUAACUACUGGAAACGGUAGCUAAUACCGCAUACCAUCAGCUGAGCCCAGUUGGGAUUAGCUAGUAGGUGGGGUACCGUCUGACCUAGUCGACGAUCCCUAGCUGGUCUUGGAGGAUGACCAGCCACACUGGAACUGAGACACGGACCAGCCUCCUACGGGAGGCAGCAGUGGGGAAGAGUGCGCAAUGGGCGCAAGCCUGAUGCAGCCAUGCCGCGUGUGUGAAGAAGGCCUUAGGGUUGUAAAGCACUUGCAGCGGGGAGGCGUUACCCGCAGAAGAAGCACCGGCUAACUCCGUGCCAGCAGCCGCGGUAAUAC